rnacentral:lncRNA from 1 species
UGUGCAAGGUACGCCUUGGCAAAGUCGAUCCAUAGGGAUAGAGGUGCCUCCUCUGCUCUCAACACAUCCAAAAGAUCUUCCACUUCGUCGGGCAGAUCAUCCACAGGCACAGCCACGGUUUCGUCAGUCGAUGCGACAGGGAUGAAGAGGUGGUACUCGUUGCUAGGCGCAUCAAAGGAGGACAUCCUAAAGAGCGUCUACCACUGGGUUGCACCGCUGAUCCGUUCACAAGCGCCAAAGAAGGAUUUUGAUGCACAAUGGUGUUUAGAAAUCCGACUCUGGCUUAUCAAAUCUGACACUGUUGGAACGCAGUCGAACAACACUUU